rnacentral:rRNA from 1 species
UAAAGAUUCAUCGCUGAUAGAUAGGCAUGCGUUCCAUUAGGCAGUUGGCGGGGUAACGGCCCACCAAACCGACGAUGGAUAGGGGUUCUGAGAGGAAGGUCCCCCACAUUGGUACUGAGACACGGACCAAACUCCUACGGGAGGCAGCAGUGAGGAAUAUUGGUCAAUGGGCGUAAGCCUGAACCAGCCAAGUCGCGUGAGGGAUGAAGGUUCUAUGGAUCGUAAACCUCUUUUAUAAGGGAAUAAAGUGCGGGACGUGUCCCGUUUUGUAUGUACCUUAUGAAUAAGGAUCGGCUAACUCCGUGCCAGCAGCCGCGGUAAUACGGAGGAUCCGAGCGUUAUCCGGAUUUAUUGGGUUUAAAGGGUGCGUAGGCGGCCUUUUAAGUCAGCGGUGAAAGUCUGUGGCUCAACCAUAGAAUUGCCGUUGAAACUGGGAGGCUUGAGUAUGUUUGAGGCAGGCGGAAUGCGUGGUGUAGCGGUGAAAUGCUUAGGUAUCACGCAGAACCCCGAUUGCGAAGGCAGCCUGCCAAGCCAUGACUGACGCUGAUGCACGAAAGCGUGGGGAUCAAACAGGAUUAGAUACCCUGGUAGUCCACGCAGUAAACGAUGAUCACUAGCUGUUUGCGAUACA